rnacentral:rRNA from 1 species
AACGUAGGAGGCGAGCGUUAUUCGGAUUUACUGGGCGUAAAGCGCGUGCAGGCGGUUCGGUAAGUUGGAUGUGAAAGCUCCCGGCUCAACUGGGAGAGGUCGUUCAAUACUGCCGAACUUGAGGACGGUAGAGGAAGGUGGAAUUCCCGGUGUAGUGGUGAAAUGCGUAGAUAUCGGGAGGAACACCAGUGGCGAAGGCGGCCUUCUGGCCCGUUCCUGACGCUCAGACGCGAAAGCUAGGGUAGCAAAC